rnacentral:rRNA from 1 species
CGUGUCGUGAGAUGUUGGGUUAAGUCCCGCAACGAGCGCAACCCUUGUCUCUAGUUGCUACGCAAGAGCACUCUAGAGAGACUGCCGGUGACAAACCGGAGGAAGGUGGGGAUGACGUCAAGUCCUCAUGGCCCUUAUGGGUAGGGCUUCACACGUCAUACAAUGGUGCGUACAGAGGGUUGCCAACCCGCGAGGGGGAGCUAAUCCCAGAAAACGCAUCGUAGUCCGGAUCGUAGUCUGCAACUCGACUACGUGAAGCUGGAAUCGCUAGUAAUCGCGGAUCAGCAUGCCGCGGUGAAUACGUUCCCGGGUCUU